rnacentral:rRNA from 1 species
UGCCAGCCGCCGCGGUAAUACGUAGGGUGCAAGCGUUAAUCGGAAUUACUGGGCGUAAAGCGUGCGCAGGCGGUUAUAUAAGACAGUUGUGAAAUCCCCGGGCUUAACCUGGGAAUUGCAUCUGUGACUGUAUAGCUAGAGUACGGUAGAGGGGGAUGGAAUUCCGCGUGUAGCAGUGAAAUGCGUAGAUAUGCGGAGGAACACCGAUGGCGAAGGCAAUCCCCUGGACCUGUACUGACGCUCAUGCACGAAAGCGUGGGGAGCAAACAGGAUUAGAUACCCUGGUAGUCCACGCCCUAAACGAUGUCAACUGGUUGUUGGGUGCAUUAGUACUCAGUAACGAAGCUAACGCGUGAAGUUGACCGCCUGGGGAGUACGGCCGCAAGGUUGAAACUUAAAUAAAUUGGCGG